CAGCCCAGAUUCUAUCAUCCUUUCCUCUCUCUCUCAGCUAACUUUUUAAUUUAAAAUUCAUUGAAACAGAAACAUAAACCAAAACCCUUCAAAUGCACAAAUUAAUUUUGUCUCAACGUCAAGCCAUUUUCUCAAGGCGCUAGCCUCCACAAUCCCUCAAGUCUUGUACCCAAACACUUCUCUAUCUCUGUGUAUCCAUAAAACCUAAUAUUGAUCAUCCCCAUCCUCUUCCCUGCACCAUUUCACUUUAUACUCCAAUUUUCGUCCCGGCAAGUGCGCUUUUACUUUCACUUUGCUUUUGCCCAAACCUCACCAUUUGGUGCCUCCUUUCUCCCCCUUUACUACUGCUUUUUAAUAUUUGAUUUCUAGGUCUUUUGGAAAAUUUUUUUAUAUGCUGUGAAGAUUUCAUUCAUUGAUUUUAUACCGUCUCUUUCUAAUUGCUGGAUACUUCUAAGUUCUUUUGAAAUUGAAGUGCUCUCUUUGAAAUUUCUGUAUGUUUCUCUACUUGUCUUUGUUUCACAUAACCAAAAUUUUGGCUGAAAUUACACUACUUGCCAUUUUACUGCUCAAGGUCAUCUGGGCUUAUUAAUCAUAGAGCUUCCCCUACUUGGAAACUUAUUUACCUUGGAAUCACAAUCUGAGAAGAGUUACCUACUUUUUACCUCCUCUAGGGAGCUUUCUGUUGCUUUAUUCUACCUGUUUUUAUCUUUAUUGGCAUUAGUUGUCAUAAGUGGUCUUACUUGUUUUGGGGUAGGAGUUGGUUUUGGGUAUUGUUUAUCUCAUAACGGGUAAGAGAAGGAAAAGACCUAGGAUUGCAUGGGCGAGCAUGAGCGGCUAUUGCCAAACGGCCUAUUGCCCAACGAAGCGGCCUCUGUGAUCCGAGUGCUUGACUCGGAGCGAUGGUUAAAGGCCGAAGAGAGAACUGCAGAGCUCAUUGUCUGCAUUCAGCCCAACGAGCUCUCGGAGAAGCGCAGAAAUGCUGUAGCGGAUUAUGUGCAGCGGCUCAUUAUGAAGUGCUUUCCUUGCCAGGUGUUCACUUUUGGUUCUGUACCUCUUAAGACUUAUUUGCCUGAUGGAGACAUUGACUUAACAGCUUUCAGUAAGAACCAAAAUAUGAAAGAUUCAUGGGCUCAUCAAGUUCAUGAUAUGCUGGAGAAUGAGGAGAAGAAUGAGAAUGCUGAAUUCCGUGUGAAAGAAGUUCAGUACAUUCAGGCAGAAGUGAAGAUAAUAAAAUGUCUUGUGGAAAACAUUGUGGUGGACAUUUCUUUUAAUCAGCUUGGUGGGCUUUGCACCCUUUGUUUUCUGGAGGAGGUUGACCAUUUGAUAAAUCAAAAUCAUUUAUUCAAGAAGAGCAUUAUAUUGAUAAAGGCAUGGUGUUAUUAUGAGAGUCGUAUUCUGGGUGCUCACCAUGGAUUGAUUUCCACAUAUGCUUUGGAAACCUUAGUUCUUUACAUAUUUCAUGUUUUCAACAAUUCCUUUGCUGGACCGCUUGAGGUUCUUUACCGUUUUCUUGAGUUCUUCAGCAAGUUUGAUUGGGAAAAUUUUUGUGUUAGCCUUUGGGGUCCUGUGCCCAUCAGUUCACUUCCAGAUGUAGCAGCGGAACCUCCUCGUAAGGACAGCGGGGAGUUAUUGCUGAGCAAGUUAUUUCUUGAGGCCUGCAGUGCUGUAUAUGCUGUUUUCCCUGGUGGCCAAGAAAAUCAAGGGCAACCUUUCAUGUCCAAACACUUCAAUGUUAUUGAUCCUUUGCGUGUGAACAACAACCUUGGACGUAGUGUUAGUAAAGGUAAUUUCUUUAGGAUACGUAGUGCAUUUGCAUUUGGGGCUAAAAAGCUGGCGAGGUUACUUGAUUGCCCAAAAGAGGACAUUUUUUUUGAAGUAAAUCAAUUCUUUAUGAACACCUGGGACAGACAUGGUAGUGGCCAGCGUCCCGAUGCACCAAGAAAUGAUUUGUGGCAGUUGAGAUUGACACCUCCUGAUUUUUCACAUGGGUCUGAUAAUCUCAGGUACAAUUCAAACAGCAGAACUUCUGGUCAUGAAGCUCAAGUUGAUGUGACACUUGGUUCCCGUGGUGUUCCCUCUCAGCAUGGUUAUUAUCCCUUGGAAAGCUCAUCCAGAAGUAGUGAAGUUUCUGUUGUUUCCCGUAGUCACAGCCAAAAGACUUCUGUUAGUUCAAAUAACACAAGGAAUUCUGAUCAAUCUAGAAGGGAAAGCAGUUUGAAUCAGGGCUUGCCUGCUGACAAGCACCAAAGAAGUUCUAAACCUGAAAACUUGAUCAGUGACCUUCAGGGAAGGUAUCUUUUUGCAAGAACACGCUCUAGUCCUGAGCUUACUGAGACAUAUAGCGAAGUUUCUUUUCAAGAGAGACAUAUCAAAGCUCAAGAAACUGGAGAAGGCCAUAGCUCUUCUGUUAGGUUAGAAAACAGCAGGAGGAAAAACCUGGAAUCUGAUAAUUGGGGAAGUCAUGGAAAUAGAUCUUCAACUGAUGAUCCUUCAUCUAUUAGACAGACCUCAUCCCAUGAAAGCCUUGAUGUUGCUGGUGAUAACAGUGCCUCAAAUAGUUACCAUGAAGAUUCAGGCAAAGGUGCUAUUGCUGAAGAAUUUGCUUCUGUCUUGGGGACACAGCAGAUGCAUCAAGAGGAUCAAGAUCUUGUGAACAUGAUGGCAUCAUCCGCUGGUCUUGGUUUUAGCGGACAGGUUCAUCUUCCACUGAAUUUGGCAUCAAGCCACAUACCUCUUCCAAUCUCACCUUCAGUUCUCACUUCAAUGGGAUAUCCUCACAGAAACUUGGGGGAAAUGCUACCUUCAAAUAUUCCGAUGAUGGAUAAUCCAUGGGGCAUAAAUAUGCCAUUUCCUCAAGGCUUGGUUUCUUCGCCAUUCAAUCAUUAUUUUCCUGGCAUAGGAUUGACCUCAAGCACAGAAGAUUCAGUUGAACCUGGAAAUGAAAAUUUUAGUUCUAUGGAAAUGAACCUGAGCAGGGCUGAUCACAAUUUCUGGCAUAAGCCAGAAAGGGGCUCUGACAGUGGGUUUGAUCUUGACAAUGGAGGCUUCAAAAUCCAUCAGUCAGGUGAUAAGCAGCAUUCCACUUCAGCUAGUUAUAACUUUGUUCCUUCGUCCCGAUUAAUUGGCUCUCUUAGUUCUUUGAGAGUUCAAGAGAAGUCCACCAAAGAAGCCCAAGGGUUAACGAAUGAAGAUCGCAUUGAUACUUUACCAUAUCAAGAAAACAGGGGUGCUGAAGUUUACUUUGAUGACAGAAAUGCAGGUUCAAGGUCCUUUCCUAUUGUCAAUACUAGCUCUCUGAGAAGUAAAGUCUCUUCUGAGAGUUCGUGGGAAGGAUCAACUGCGAAGGCAUCAAAGUCAACUAGGGAAAAGAGAAAUAGGAAAACAGCCUCUUCUGUAGUGCCAUCUGCUGCUUUUGGGAAAGGUAAGAGUGUGUCUGAAAAUUCCUCCUGUCAGGCAGAUGAUGAAAACAAAGACCAGAAUCAAGUGUCCACUAUGGGUCCUGAAAUGACUGAAAGAAGCACAGUACCUCCAUCUGCUGCUGUGCAUGUUCCAAGGCAUCAAAUUCCUGGAUUUGAAACAGCACAGAUGAGUGGAUCAGAGUCAUUGAUACCUUUUGCUCCGAUGAUUUUAGAUCCUAGUUCAAGGCAAAGAAAUACAGAUAAUUCAGGGGUUGUUCCGUUUGCAUUUUAUCCGACAGGGCCACCUGUACCUUUUGUUACAAUGCUUCCAGUGUACAACUUCCCUACUGAGUCAGGAACUUCUGAUGCAUCAACACACCAAUUUAGUGUUGAGGAGGUUGGAGACAACAGUGAUUCUGGUCAGAAUUUUGAUGCGUCUGAGGGACUCAAUCAAGCUGAGGUGUUAAGCACUUCUAAUUCUAUGAGAAGACCUGCUUCUGUAGAGCCAUUGGAGCAUAUAUCUGACAUUCUUAACAGUGAUUUUGCUAGCCACUGGCAAAAUUUGCAAUAUGGACGGUUUUGCCAAAGCCCACGGUGUCCCACGCCAAUGUAUCCUUCACCUCUGGUGAUGCCACCUGUAUAUUUACAAGGCCAUCUUCCAUGUGAUGGGUCUGGGAGACCUCUUUCAACCAACAUGAAUCUUUUCACGCAGCUUAUGAGUUAUGGGCCACAUCUUGUUCCUGUUGCUCCUUUUCAGUCUAUUUCCAAUGGACCUGCAGGUGUUUACCAGCACUAUGUUGAUGAAAUGCCAAGAUAUCGUAGUGGAACUGGGACCUACCUGCCAAAUCCUAGGGUAUCUCCUCGGGAUCGCCAUUCUACAAAUACUAGAAGGGGAAAUUACAGUCAUGAUAGAAAUGACCACCAUGGUGAUAGGGACAGUAAUUGGAAUGUGAAUUCAAAGCCUCGGGCUUCUGGCCGCAGCCACAGUCGCAACCAAGCUGAGAAGUCAAACUCAAGGUUGGAUCGAUUGGCAGCAAAUGAGAGCCGAACUGAUAGGACAUGGGCUUUACAGAGACGUGAUUCGUUCUCUUCAUACCAGUCUCAGAAUGGCCCAAUCCGUUCAAACGCUUCACAGAGUGGUUCUGCCAAUUUGGCAUAUGGCAUGUAUCCACUACAGUCCAUGAAUCCUGGGGUUUCGACAAAUGGACCUACGUUUCCACCUGUUGUCAUGCUAUACCCUUAUGAUCACAGUGCUGGAUUUGGAUCUCCUGUGGAGCAGCUUGAGUUUGGAUCUCUUGGGCCAGUGGGUUUCCCGGCUGUAAACGAGGUAUCACAUUUAAACGAGGGAAGUCGAUCGAUUGGGGGAUUUGAGGGGUUUCCUGGCAGCUCUGCCCAGCGGUCUUCACCAGAUCAGCCUUCUUCACCUCAUGUUACGAGGUAGUCAUCAUUCUGUUUGUUAAGUACGAGGCAGUGGGCCUAGCCAAGUUAGUGAUAAGUGGCCGUGUCUUAGAAUCAUAGUAGUAAGAGGUAGUUCUACAACAGCAAUCUAUUUUGAGGGCAUUUGAUUUUAUUGCCAGAUCAGUGGCCCAAAGGAAUUAUCAGUUGAAAGAUGAGGAUUUCCACCUCGUGUUUCUGAAGCAAGGAGGAAAUUGUGGUGGAAGAAACUGUGAUGACACCUCCCCAGUUACCAGGCCUCUGUGGUCUCACCUCAUUCCUAAAAAGGGAGAACUCGCAGGAAUAUUCUGAUAAUCGCAUGGGAAGUUCUCCAUUCAUGCUAGCUCUUUCAUGUUUGUACACUAAUAAUUUCUUUUCUGCCCCGUUUUGCAUGGAUGUAGCAGUUAGGUGGUAGGGAGGAUGCAUGACUCGGUGUUUAGUCUUUAAUUAUAGCCUUACAUUGUAACCCCACUGAUAUAAAAGCUCGCAGGUUUAGAAUCUAGGAUUUCAGUGUUAUAAUUUUUUUUUGUCUCAGGAGCUUGUUCCACACAUGGUUUUAGGAAUUUUCAUUUACAAACUCAGUGUGGGAGCUCCUUUUACGAACUCUUGCUUAAAAGAUACGACGUUGUAGCAAUACUCCCACCUACAUACAGAAAGAUUACUCUCGUUUUAUAACUGGAAGUAAAAAAAGCUUUCGCUUUU